UACAGAGGGUGCGAGCGUUGUUCGGAAUUAUUGGGCGUAAAGGGCGCGUAGGCGGUGCCACAAGUCACUUGUGAAAUCUCCGGGCUUAACUCGGACCUGCAGGCGAAACUGUGGUGGCUGGAGUGUGGGAGAGGUGGCGUGGAAUUCCCGGUCGGUAGCGGUGGAAAUGACGGUAGAUAUCGGGAGGAACACCUGUGGCGAAGGGCGGCUCUCUGGGACGGUACUGACGCUGAGGUGCGAAAGCGUGGGGAGCAAACAGG
rnacentral:rRNA from 1 species